GACGAACGCUGGCGGCGUGCUUAACACAUGCAAGUCGAACGGAAAGGCCUCUUUCGGGGGGUACUCGAGUGGCGAACGGGUGAGUAACACGUGAGUAACCUGCCCUUGACUUUGGGAUAACUUCAGGAAACUGGGGCUAAUACCGGAUAGGAGCUCCUGCUGCAUGGUGGGGGUUGGAAAGUUUCGGCGGUUGGGGAUGGACUCGCGGCUUAUCAGCUUGUUGGUGGGGUAGUGGCUUACCAAGGCUUUGACGGGUAGCCGGCCUGAGAGGGUGACCGGCCACAGUGAGACUGAGAUACGGCCCAGACUCCGACGGGAGGCAGCAGUGGGGAAUAUUGCACAAGGGGUGGAAGCCUGAUGCAGCAACGCCGUGUGCGGGAUGACGGCCUUCGGGUUGUAAACCGAUUUCGCUCAUGACGAAGCUUUGUGUGACGGUAGUGGGUAAAGAAGCACCGGCUAACUACGUG
rnacentral:rRNA from 1 species